GGUCAGCAAUGACACUGUCGUACGGGUGCGUAACGCGUAUGCAACCUACCUAUCACUGGGGGAUAGCCCGGGGAAACCCGGAUUAAUACCGCAUAAAACAGGGGCACCGCAUGGUGAUAUUUGUUAAAGAUUUAUUGGUGAUAGAUGGGCAUGCGUUCGAUUAGCUAGUUGGCGGGGUAACGGCCCACCAAGGCGACGAUCGAUAGGGGAGCUGAGAGGUUGAUCCCCCACACGGGCACUGAGAUACGGGCCCGACUCCUACGGGAGGCAGCAGUAGGGAAUAUUGGGCAAUGGAUGCAAGUCUGACCCAGCCAUGCCGCGUGCCGGAUGAAGGCCCUCAGGGUUGUAAACGGCUUUUAUUCGGGAAGAAGAGCAGGGAUGCGUCCUUGUGUGACGGUACCGAAUGAAUAAGCACCGGCUAACUCCGUGCCAGCAGCCGCGGUAAUACGGAGGGUGCGAGCGUUGUCCGGAUUUAUUGGGUUUAAAGGGUGCGUAGGUGGCUGUUUAAGUCAGUGGUGAAAUACGGUUGCUCAACAAUCGAGGUGCCAUUGAUACUGAAUAGCUUGAAAUAAUUGGAGGCUGCCGGAAUGGAUGGUGUAGCGGUGAAAUGCAUAGAUAUCAUCCAGAACACCGAUUGCGAANGCAGGUGGCUACGAUUGGUUUGACACUGAGGCACGAAAGCAUGGGGAGCAAACAGGAUUAGAUACCCUGGUAGUCCAUGCUGUAAACGAUGAGGACUCGUUGUUUGGCUGCAANGCUGANCGACUUAGGGAAACCGUUAAGUCCUCCACCUGGGGA
rnacentral:rRNA from 1 species